GUGUCACAGACAGAAGUUUCCUCACGAAAUCAAAAGUGUUUGUAUAAGUGGUUUAAAGUGAUCGGAACUGAUCCUCGGUAUCCUCGCGAAAUCAAAUUCAACGAAUCACAGCGCACGCUGUUAUUAAUUUUUACCAGUGAAAAUCGCGAAACUGAGAGACUUCGACCGUUUAUCUAGUCAUAGAUGUGAAUGUCAGCUGAACAGGGCGAGAUACAAUGGCGAUAAGAUAAACUGUGGCAGAUAAGCUGAUUUCAUCGCCGGCCGAAGAAGUGUCGCGGUUAUACCGAAGCAAGGAGAGGUGGAGCGGCAGCCGGCUUGAGAUGAGCAAACAGAAAAAUAUGCGAUUAUCCUGCGACGUGGUUCAGGGUGGAACUACCUGUUGAUGUCACGUUAUGGGGUGGUGCUUCCUCGCCGGAGUUCUGCUGCUCUCCAUAUGCGUGGUGGGACUGCCAUUGCCCCAGGUCGGCGGAGCCGCAGGUGCCCACGGGCAGCCGC
rnacentral:lncRNA from 1 species